AGCUCCAACUAAACUCAUCUCUAAUUCUUAAACUCUGUCUCUGUUCCGUCCCAUUCGUUCUCCAUUCAUCGUAUUUUGCAAAAUGGAGACGAACUUGUGGGAGUGGGACCACUGGGUCGAAGCAGCACUCUCAAAGCUUCAAAUUUAAAAAGUGCUUCGCUCCCUAAGGCCCAUUUACGUCUCCUCCAAUGAACGACAGAAAGAACAAUCUCCACCCGUCGAAGAACGUGACGAUGAUUACGAGGUGUUCGAUGAAAUGCAACCCUGGGAUCGAUCUGCCGUUGAAAUAUCAAUCUCUGACUCCACCUUUCACAGAUGGCUCCAUGGCAUUCCUUGUUCUGGAGAUGAGAUUGUCUCCAGAGAUGAGUAUCUAAUGGUAAGGCCACCACAUGCUCAAGGCAGUUCAAGAAGCUACUUCUGUUAAAUCUCCUAAUAAGAUUGUAAACUUCAGAUGCAUGGCUGACACCAUUUAUGAGUGUAUUAUACCUUGGAUAUUUUGCAUCUUGUCUACGAAACCUUACUGCUCUGUGGUUCACAGUCCUCUGAGUGACUUCAACGAGUCUUUUGGAAAUAUUUGCUAGGUGUUUUGCUUGUUUAGUAUGGAUGGAGACUUUGCACCAAUGGUUGAACUUGUGAAGCUUCGCAAGAAGUAUGGCUUUUUGUUAGUCUUAAAUGAUGUAAGUUUUCUUGAUUGUCCAGUGUUCUACCCUUUUGUUUGACUUCAAGGGUUGGGUUAAGCGGUAUAGACUUUUGGAAUCAACCAAGAGGUUAGGCGUAAAACACUCCCGAAAGAACUUACUUGGAUACAUCCAAUAAGUUUCUUGUAAUCCCCAGUUUAAAAUUCAUGAAAAUUUAAGAAAGGUUGGGGAAU